GACGAACCGUGCAAACGUUACUCGGAAUCACUGGGCUUAAAGGGCGCGUAGGCGGUACGCCAAGUCUGGGGUGAAAUCUUUCGGCUCAACCGGAAAAUUGCCUGGGAUACUGGCGUGCUUGAGGGAGGUAGGGGCAGCGGGAACUACCAGUGGAGCGGUGAAAUGCGUUGAUAUUGGUAGGAACGCCGGUGGCGAAAGCGCGUUGCUGGACCUCUUCUGACGCUGAGGCGCGAAAGCUAGGGGAGCAAACGGG
rnacentral:rRNA from 1 species